ACCAGAGGCAUCAUGGGUAGGCGGCCAUCUUUAUUGAGGGCACAGCACCCAGGGGUGCAGGGACAGAGGUGUCCAAAGGGGAUCCAGGUGUCCAUUCUGGGGGGAUCCAGGUGUCCAUGUUGGGGGGAUCCAGGUGUCCAUUCUGGGGGGAUCCAGGUGUCUAUGUUGAGGGGGAUCCAGGUGUGCAGGUCAGGGAGCUCCAGGUGUGCAGGUGGAAGAGAUCAAGGUGUGCAGGUCAGGACAAUCCAGGUGUCCAUCAGAGGGUCUCCAGGGGGGUCAGGUGUCCAUGGCGGGGUCUUGAGGAGGGUCAGGUGUCCAUGGGGUGACCCCAGGUGGGUCAGGUGUCCAUCAGGUGACCCCAGGAGUUCAGGUGUCCAUCAGGUGACCCCAGGAAGGUCAGGUGUCCAUAGGGGGUCUCCAGGAGGGUCAGAUGUCCAUGGGGUGACCCUGGGAGGCUCAGGUGCCCCCAAGAUGCUCAGGUGCCCAGGUGAGGGUCUCCAGGGGUGUCAGGAGCCCAGGUGAGUGUCGCCAGGAUGUUCAGGUGCCCCCAGGAUGUUGA